rnacentral:rRNA from 1 species
UACGUAGGGCGCAAGCGUUGUCCGGAAUUAUUGGGCGUAAAGAGCUCGUAGGCGGUCUGUUACGUCCGCUGUGAAAACCCAGGGCUUGACCCUGGGCUUGCAGUGGAUACGGGCAGACUAGAGGCAGGUAGGGGAGAAUGGAAUUCCCGGUGUAGCGGUGAAAUGCGCAGAUAUCGGGAGGAACACCGGUGGCGAAGGCGGUUCUCUGGGCCUGACCUGACGCUGAGGAGCGAAAGCGUGGGGAGCGAACAGG